rnacentral:lncRNA from 1 species
ACAGUUGUCUGUGGUGUGUGAUUGUAAUUCUUUAGGUUCCCAUGUUUGUGUGUGUGUAUGUGUGUGUGCAUAUGUGUGACCCCCAGCGUCCGUCAUUGACGCUGACACCAUGUUCUAUGAGUCAACCCAACACACUGUCCCAGUGAGGAAAGGCAAAAUGUCUGACAUACCGGAAGAGCCUGAGGACAUGAGUGACAGCUCCCACCCCUCCAUCGUUCCUCUAAAGGAUGCUCCACCAAUCACAGAAGUUGAAACCUGCAACCCCGGCCCCAACCACUUCACCGUCCACUACACCAGGUUGUCCAGGUAACUUUAGUUGAGAUGAAACCAUGAACAUUUCAGGAAAGGGCUGUCGAAGCUUCAGGUGAUGAACACGGGUUGGGAAAACGACACACACAUCCAGAUUCACACCAUCUUCCACCAUCUCUGUCAAUUUCUCUCCUCUUAACUACAUCCCCCUUUCUAACUGUUUCACCUUCCAUCUCCUGUUUUUUUUCAUUCUGCAACAUUUUGUCAUUUUUCCAUCCCCCGUCUGCUCACAUUUGUUCCCGACAGAUCUGCUGACAUCGGCAGCAAUCUACGGUUUCACAUCUUGCAAAAUUUUAUUUUACUGCUACACUGGCCUCUUCAUCCCCUCUCCCUCUCUCACUCUUCUUUUCAUCAUCCGCUGUCAUCACCCUCUCGUUGGUCGGCCUCACGCCUCCUCUCCUUACGCCUCCGUCUGUUUACGAGACUCCAAUAAAACCGGGGUCCCUGUUUUGACUCACAAAAUAAUAUCUCUGUUUAUGCUAUAAUCUGAGUCAGAUGUCCGGAUGAACUCAUGUGGUUUCUGUUCAUUGUUGAUGUUGAUUCAGUGCAGACCAGGUGCAGGUCCACAGCCUGCCACGAGGUGGCGAUAGAAAACCAAAGGACUCCCCCAAAGUUGUUUACGCCUUACUGCCCCAGCCCGGCCCCUGAACUGAAGGAUACAGCUGCUGAACAAGACAUAAUCCGUCCUCCUGUGAACCAGUCACUUUGCUUCCAUCUGUGCAGAGACGGCUGUGGAAACCACAGACGGCUCCUUGUGAACUGUAGAUGACUUAUGCUGUUCUGGGUCAGACGUGUUGUUACGGGAUUCUCCACGGUUCUUCAGACCCUGAGGGCAACUCGAGGCCGGGGGUCCUGCCACUGUGUUGCAUGUCUUUUCUUCGUUUUUGUUUUGUUUGUUUUUUUUUGGGGGGGGAGGAGGGGUUCUCUGCUAUGAAUCUUACCACAAUAUUCUGUCUGAUGAAGUGAAAGUGUUCAAAAGCAGAAACAAGGAAUACUUUAUUGAUUCCCAGGGAGAAUGUGGUUUUGUUACAGUUGCUCCAAACAAAAAUAUGAACAUAUACAGACCCUAAAAUUAUAAUAAAUAGAAAUAUAGUAUAUAAAUAUGAAGUAUGUCAAAUUAUGUGCAUUAUCCUACAAUAUAUAUAUAUAUACACACAACAGCUUGUGGUAAUUGCUAUGCAAAUAUUAACAAGAAAUAACAAUAAACCGGUGUAGAUAAACAGUAAUAGGUCUGUAAGGGGCUAUUGACUCAGAGUGUCUGACAGUCUGAGGGAGGAGUCUGAUGACCACAGGCAUGUGGCGCAAGGUGGCGCCUAUCAGUGGAAUACUGUAAGUCUCUUGCUUACUGUACUCCUGUGCUUAGCCAGCAUGUCCUGGAGUGAGUGGGAGACAUUGUCCAAAGAUAGCCUGUGACUUGGACGGCAUGUUGAAUCCGUCGGUGUCUGCUACCCUCAACCCCCCGCUUCCCCAUAGCACAUAACAGCCAUGUGGCCCACCACAGACUCAUCAUCGUCCGGCAGAUGUUGAAGGAUCUCAGCCUCCACAGAAAAUUAGGGACCGCUCUGGCCCUUCUUGUAGACGGCUUCGGUGAUCUUGGUCCACAGAGGCCCCCCCUGGAUGGAGACAGGGCUCGCCAGGUCCUUGGUUUCUCCUCCGAAUCCACAACCCAGCUCCCUGUGUCACAUUGAGCUGCCGAUGGUUCCGCUCACACUGUAACAAGCUGCAUGCGCGGUCAAUGCAUGAAAGGAAAGGCUAAAUAGGGAGCAUCAACACCAAUAGCCAUUUUACCUGCAUUCAUAUCCAUAUUUAAAUAAUGCUUCACACUAACAUUUGCUCUCAAGAAUAUGUAGAUGGCACAAUGUGCGUUAACCUUUGCAACCUCCGACUACUGGAAAGUGAUAAUCUUUUGUAUUCAAACAUCAUUGUCCCCAAUAAAAGUGACAGGGUGUUAUUGAACACAAUAGCGGAGAAAAGCAGACGUCAACAAAGAAUAUGCAAUAUUUGACAUGAGUUUCCCCACUGUAUUCUACAAUGUUCCACGUAGGCUUGUUCUGAACGCCAAUGCUGCAACACUUAUUCAGUUUACACAGCUCGCUUUCAUUAAAUCAGUCGUUCCAUUUUUACUGUACGUAGUGUACGCUACGCCGGGAACGCUUCAAAAUUACACAUUGUAGUUUGUUACCCUAAAGCAAAAUAAAAGAAAAUGUCACAACUUGAAUGUGUGUUGUAGUUUUUCUGCGGGUCCCAAACAGUUAACACUGAGGACAGAUUAGUGAUGCGUUAAGUGUGGGGGGACUGUCAGCAGAAUAGUUAAGGGGAAACAGUGUUUGCGCUUCAGUGCAUUUUAUUUUGAAUUUCCUAUGAGAGCAGAACAAAAUGUUUCAGUCCCCCUCCCCCCUCCAAACCUCGAAAG